rnacentral:rRNA from 1 species
UACGGAGGGUGCAAGCGUUAUCCGGAUUUACUGGGUUUAAAGGGUGCGCAGGCGGAUAUGUAAGUCAGUGGUGAAAUCUCUAGGCUUAACCUGGAAAUUGCCGUUGAUACUAUAUAUCUUGAAUGUUGUGGAGGUAAGCGGAAUAUGUCAUGUAGCGGUGAAAUGCUUAGAUAUGACAUAGAAUACCUAUUGCGAAGGCAGCUUACUACGCAGAUAUUGACGCUCAUGCACGAAAGCGUGGGGAUCAAGCAGG